UCGUACGCGNAAGCGGCCUUCGGGCCGUGAGUAGAGUGGCAAACGGGUGAGUAACGCGUGGGUGACCUGCCUUCGAGUGGGGGAUAACUCUCCGAAAGGAGAGCUAAUACCGCAUAAUAUCCCGCCCUUGGAUGGGUGGAGAUCAAAGCCGGGGAUCGCAAGACCUGGUGCUUGAAGAGGGACCCGCGUCCGAUUAGCUUGUUGGUGGGGUAGUGGCCUACCAAGGCUUCGAUCGGUAGCCGGCCUGAGAGGGCGGACGGCCACACUGGGACUGAGACACGGCCCAGACUCCUACGGGAGGCAGCAGUAGGGAAUUGUUCGCAAUGGGCGCAAGCCUGACGACGCAACGCCGCGUGGAGGACGAAGAUCUUCGGGUUGUAAACUCCUGUCGAGCGGGACGAAUAGUGCACAGGUUAAUACCCUGUGCGCCUGACGGUACCGUUAAAGGAAGCCCCGGCUAACUCCGUGCCAGCAGCCGCGGUAAUACGGGGGGGGCAAGCGUUGUUCGGAAUUACUGGGCGUAAAGGGCUCGUAGGCGGCCAGCCAAGUCGAACGUGAAAUCCCCAGGCUUAACCUGGGAACUGCGUCCGAUACUGGUUGGCUUGAAGUCGGGAGAGGGAUGCGGAAUUCCAGGUGUAGCGGUGAAAUGCGUAGAUAUCUGGAGGAACACCGGUGGCGAAGGCGGCAUCCUGGACCGAUCUUGACGCUGAGGAGCGAAAGCUAGGGGAGCAAACGGGAUUAGAUACCCCGGUAGUCCUAGCCCUAAACGAUGAAUGCUUGGUGUGGCGGGUAUCGAUCCCUGCCGUGCCGGAGCUAACNC
rnacentral:rRNA from 1 species